rnacentral:tRNA from 1 species
GUUUAAAUAGUUUAAAAAAAAUAUGGAUUUGUGGUGUCAUUGAUGAGAUUUAUUCUCUUUAAACC